rnacentral:rRNA from 1 species
CUGGCGGCAGGCCUAACACAUGCAAGUCGAGCGGUAACAGAUUGAUAGCUUGCUAUCAAUGCUGACGAGCGGCGGACGGGUGAGUAAUGCCUGGGAAUAUGCCCUGAUGUGGGGGAUAACUAUUGGAAACGAUAGCUAAUACCGCAUAAUCUCUUCGGAGCAAAGAGGGGGACCUUCGGGCCUCUCGCGUCAGGAUUAGCCCAGGUGGGAUUAGCUUGUUGGUGGGGUAAUGGCUCACCAAGGCGACGAUCCCUAGCUGGUCUGAGAGGAUGAUCAGCCACACUGGAACUGAGACACGGUCCAGACUCCUACGGGAGGCAGCAGUGGGGAAUAUUGCACAAUGGGGGAAACCCUGAUGCAGCCAUGCCGCGUGUAUGAAGAAGGCCUUCGGGUUGUAAAGUACUUUCAGUUGUGAGGAAGGCAGUAAAGUUAAUAGCUUUAUUGUUUGACGUUAGCAACAGAAGAAGCACCGGCUAACUCCGUGCCAGCAGCCGCGGUAAUACGGAGGGUGCGAGCGUUAAUCGGAAUUACUGGGCGUAAAGCGCAUGCAGGUGGUNUGUUAAGCAAGAUGUGAAAGCCCGGGGCUCAACNUCGGAACAGCAUUUUGAACUGGCAGACUAAANUACUGUAGAGGGGGGUAGAAUUUCAGGUGUAGCGGUGAAAUGCGUAGAGAUCUGAAGGAAUACCGGUGGCGAAGGCGGCCCCCUGGACANAUACUUGACACUCAAAUGCCAAAAGCGUGGGGAGCAAACAGGAUUA